AACGUCCGUCGUGAAGAGGGAAACAACCCAGACCGCCAGCUAAGGUCCCAAAGUCAUGGUUAAGUGGGAAACGAUGUGGGAAGGCACAGACAGCCAGGAUGUUGGCUUAGAAGCAGCCAUCAUUUAAAGAAAGCGUAAUAGCUCACUGGUCGAGUCGGCCUGCGCGGAAGAUGUAACGGGGCUAAACCAUGCACCGAAGCUGCGGCAGCGACACUAUGUGUUGUUGGGUAGGGGAGCGUUCUGUAAGCCUGCGAAGGUGACCUGUGAGGGUUGCUGGAGGUAUCAGAAGUGCGAAUGCUGACAUAAGUAACGAUAAAGCGGGUGAAAAGCCCGCUCGCCGGAAGACCAAGGGUUCCUGUCCAACGUUAAUCGGGGCAGGGUGAGUCGACCCCUAAGGCGAGGCCGAAAGGCGUAGUCGAUGGGAAACAGGUUAAUAUUCCUGUACUUGGUGUUACUGCGAAGGGGGGACGGAGAAGGCUAUGUUAGCCGGGCGACGGUUGUCCCGGUUUAAGCAUGUAGGCUGGUUAUCCAGGCAAAUCCGGAUAAUCAAGGCUGAGGUGUGAUGACGAGGCACUACGGUGCUGAAGUAACAAAUGCCCUGCUUCCAGGAAAAGCCUCUAAGCAUCAGGUAACAUUAAAUCGUACCCCAAACCGACACAGGUGGUCAGGUAGAGAAUACCAAGGCGCUUGAGAGAACUCGGGUGAAGGAACUAGGCAAAAUGGUGCCGUAACUUCGGGAGAAGGCACGCUGGUGUGUAGGUGAAGUCCCUGCGGAUGGAGCUGAGACCAGUCGAAGAUACCAGCUGGCUGCAACUGUUUAUUAAAAACACAGCACUGUGCAAACACGAAAGUGGACGUAUACGGUGUGACGCCUGCCCGGUGCCGGAAGGUUAAUUGAUGGGGUUAUCCGUAAGGAGAAGCUCUUGAUCGAAGCCCCGGUAAACGGCGGCCGUAACUAUAACGGUCCUAAGGUAGCGAAAUUCCUUGUCGGGUAAGUUCCGACCUGCACGAAUGGCGUAAUGAUGGCCAGGCUGUCUCCACCCGAGACUCAGUGAAAUUGAACUCGCUGUGAAGAUGCAGUGUACCCGCGGCAAGACGGAAAGACCCCGUGAACCUUUACUAUAGCUUGACACUGAACAUUGAGCCUUGAUGUGUAGGAUAGGUGGGAGGCUUUGAAGCGUGGACGCCAGUCUGCGUGGAGCCAACCUUGAAAUACCACCCUUUAAUGUUUGAUGUUCUAACGUU
rnacentral:rRNA from 1 species